rnacentral:sRNA from 1 species
CGUCUGGUCCGAGGAUCCGGUGCUGACCGGAUCCUGGUGCAAAAAGGGA